rnacentral:rRNA from 1 species
AAUCAACGCUGGCGGCGUGCCUAAUAUAUGCAAGUCGAACGCGAAAGUCCCGCAAGGGAUGAGUAGAGUGGCAAACGGGUGAGUAACACGUGGGUGACCUGCCUUCGAGUGGGGGAUAACGUCCCGAAAGGGACGCUAAUACCGCAUGACAUCCUGCCUUUUAAGAGGCGGCGAUCAAAGCUGGGGAUCGCAAGACCUAGCGCUUGAAGAGGGGCCCGCGUCCGAUUAGCUAGUGGUGGGGUAAUGGCUCACCAAGGCAACGAUCGGUAGCCGGCCUGGGAGGGCGGACGGCCACACUGGGACUGAGACACGGCCCAGACUCCUACGGGAGGCAGCAGUAGGGAAUUGUUCGCAAUGGGCGCAAGCCUGACGACGCAACGCCGCGUGGAGGAUGAAGAUCUUCGGGUCGUAAACUCCUUUCGAUCGAGACGAAUGGCCUCCGGGUGAACAAUCCGGAGGAGUGACGGUACCGAGAGAAGAAGCCCGGCUAACUCCGUGCCAGCAGCCGCU